ensembl:lncRNA
AUUGGCUUUCGUCUCCCACCAUCAGAAUCCGAAUAGCGGCUCCUAGAGCCAAACCACAUUUUACACAUUAAGAAACUGUUUCUGGUAGUGUCGCUGGUACUAAGACAGGAUAAACAAUAUCGUGCCCUCCUGGUCACUGUUUUCAAACUGAAGAAGUUUAAAUGGUCCUUCAAGAAAGCAAACCAGCGAGAAAUAAUUUCCUUAUGUUUUAUUUUAAAUAAUGUGUAGAUGAUAAAGCUCUUUCCUCUUUGAAAUAAGACGAACACAAUUCCGAUUAAAUCGACGGAGAACUCACUUGACAUGCAUUUCACGGACCUCCACGGACUACUCCAAUAACAUAAGCCUGGCCUGUGGAGAGCAAACCCACCCAGCCAUCCACCCACCCACACAGUGUGAAAUCUACACCCCCUCAAGGAGAGCAGUGAGGUCACAGAAGACGAAAGCACCAUUGUGCAGUCAGAGGGAUGGAGGACAGGAGGCACCUGCCACCAGAUGGAGGUGGCAAUGCCAAACGUUCUGCCUCAGCCAAUUGUGACACAGAGGAUAGAGCGGUCAGGAAGGAGCAGGGUGACCCUGAGACCUCCACACAAAUGUGUGUGAGAAAAGACGAUCUCUCCGAUGUUCCUCGCAAGGUGCCUCGUUUCCAGUAUGUGGAUUUCCCUUCCCUGCACCAGUGCAUCCAACAGCUUUCUGUGCCUCCACUGAACGGCUGGCUGGGAUCCUGCUCGUUGGCAAAGGCACCAAAGUACAGGCCUGCCAGUCCUAAGGAAAAGGUGCCCAAGUUUAAAUACGUGGACUACCCAUCUCUCCACCACUGCAUUCAGCAGCUGUCUGUGCCUCCAUUGGAAAACUGGAGUGCAGGGCUGGUCAGGUUUAAUGUAGACGGGAAACAGGACGGCUCUGGGUCACAGAAGAGGCCCACUCAACCUGGGACUGUGAAGAAUAACAUAAGUAAUGAGGCAGGAGAUCAAAACAAGGAGGACAGGAGUAGAGUUAUAUCAUUUUCUUUCCCAAGAGACACACACAACUCAGUCUCAGGCAAGGAGGAGAGGCCUCAACACGACUACACCUCAGAGGUGCCACAGAGGUUAGAGAAAGAUAACGCACCUCUAAGGUCCCGUGCUACUAAACCAGAUGCUGCUUUUCAAUCAGAUUGCAGAUCAAGAGCAGAAUCUGGUUCUGGAUCUCGUAGCGAUGCAGCAGUGGUGAGAAACGACAGACCGUCGGUUAUUAACAUGGUACACACGGAUAAGCAGAGGCACUGGACAAUGGCAGAUCACCUGGAAGAACAACUGAACUCUCCAGAUUCAGUCGGAAGGGUACCAUGGAAAACCAUCCCGGAGUCAGUCUGCCCAUUCUGCCAACAGAUGUUCACAAACCCCGAGCAGUUCAGGGCUCAUCAGCGGAGCCAUAGAGAUAAGAGACCAAACUGACAUGCAGAAGUACUGAGUGAGAACUGCUUUUGGCAAACAGUCAAUGCCACACCAUAUGGAAUCGUAUCAUCAGAGGCCUUCUUGUGUUGUGACUGGCUAUAGUGGCAUUGCUGGCAGGACUAUAGGGAGAUCGAAGACACAUUAAGCACAUUAGACAGUUUGGGUUCAGACCUUAGGGAGAAUGCAAGACUUUGUCUUGACUGAUGUUGUGAAGUCUAAAAAGGCAGAACUGGACAGACAGAAACACACAAGCAUACAAUAUGCAUGUACUUGCGAGAGUGCCAGCACACACACACACACACACACACACACACACACAGAGUAUCCUAUUCAUGAUUCAGAAGAGGUCAAUAUUUACUGCCCCACAUAAGGACCAUCAGACAUCACACACACACACACACAGACACACAGAGUAUCCUAUUCAUGAUUCAGAAGAGGUCAAUAUUUACUGCCCCACAUAAGGACCAUCAGACAUAAUGAGUUUUCGGCUCAAGACGGGAUUAGAACCAGAUUUAUAGUCUCUUCCACACAUAUACCAGCGUGUUUACAGGGGUGGGUGAAGCUCGAUGGACUGGUGCGUAAGAAGAUGAAUUUUAUUACAUAUGUGUUCCCCACACUGUGUGCAUGGUGGCAGGUUAAAUAUUUAGCUUUGGGUGCCUACCAAAUAAUGGCUAUUGUUAAUGCUGCACAAACAAACAGGCUUGAUAAUAAUGAUUUGUUACAUUAGCUUUUUAUCAUUUUGUACUUUUUAUGUUUUUGGAAAUUAAUGUCUAGUGGCUUCAAGCUAGUAGAUUUAAAUCUUCAAAAUGUAC